UACGGAGGGUGCAAGCGUUAAUCGGAAUCACUGGGCGUAAAGCGCGCGUAGGUGGCUAUUUAAGUCAGAUGUGAAAGCCCUGGGCUCAACCUGGGAAUGGCAUUUGAUACUGGAUAGCUAGAGUAUGGUAGAGGUGAGUGGAAUUUCAGGUGUAGCGGUGAAAUGCGUAUAGAUCCGGAAGAACACCGGUGGCGAAGGCGGCUCGCUGGGCAGUGGCUGACGCUGAGGCGCGACAGCGUGGGGAGCAAACAGG
rnacentral:rRNA from 1 species